ACAAAUAGCAGCUCAUCCCACUCACGAUUUUUCCGGCUUCUACCUUUGCUUUCAUUCUGAAUGGGCAAUUAACUUUAUUUAUAGUCUACCAAUGUAGCAAAAAGAAAGCACGAAAAAUAUUUUCAGUUGGUUCAAUGGAAAACCAAUUGACUAAUAAUGUUUAUUAUUGGCAUAAAGACCUUCCUGGGAAACAACAAAAUGCGUCACAAUACGCGAGUUCAUAUCAAGAAUUUUGUAAACUAUAUACAAAACCAGAAAGUGGUUUUCGUCUUUAGUAAAACAAAA